UCCCUGGUGGUCCAGUGGCUAAGACUCCACGCUCCCAGUGCAGGGGCCCAGGUUCAACCCCUGGCCAGGGAA
rnacentral:tRNA from 2 species